GACGAACGCUGGCGGCGUGCUUAACACAUGCAAGUCGAACGGAAAGGCCCUGCUUUUGUGGGGUUCUCGAGUGGCGAACGGGUGAGUAACACGUGAGUAACCUGCCCUUGACUUUGGGAUAACUUCAGGAAACUGGGGCUAAUACCGGAUAGGAGCUCCUGCUGCAUGGUGGGGGUUGGAAAGUUUCGGCGGUUGGGUAUGGACUCGCGGCUUAUCAGCUUGUUGGUGGGGUAGUGGCUUACCAAGGCUUUGACGGGUAGCCGGCCUGAGAGGGUGACCGGCCACAUUGGGACUGAGAUACGGCCCAGACUCCUACGGGAGGCAGCAGUGGGGAAUAUUGCACAAUGGGCGGAAGCCUGAUGAAGAAAAGCAGCGUGCGGGAUGACGGCCUUCGGGGUGUAAACCGAUUUAGCAUGUGACGAAGCGUGAGUGACGGUAAUGGGUAAAGAAGCACCGGCUAACUACGUG
rnacentral:rRNA from 1 species